AAGCUUGCUUGUUGGGGUUGUAGGACACUCUAUACGGAGUUACAAAGGACGACAUUAGACGAAUCAUCUGGAAAGAUGAAUCAAAGAAGGUAAUAAUCCUGUAGUCGAAAAUGUUGUCUCUCUUGAGUGGAUCCUGAGUACGACGGAGCACGUGAAAUUCCGUCGGAAUCUGGGAGGACCAUCUCCUAAGGCUAAAUACUCUCUAGUGACCGAUAGUGAACCAGUACCGUGAGGGAAAGGUGAAAAGCACCCCGGAAGGGGAGUGAAAUAGAACCUGAAACCGUGUGCUUACAAGUAGUCAGAGCCCGUUAAUGGGUGAUGGCGUGCCUUUUGUAGAAUGAACCGGCGAGUUACGAUUUGAUGCAAGGUUAAGCAGUAAAUGUGGAGCCGUAGCGAAAGCGAGUCUGAAUAGGGCGUUUAGUAUUUGGUCGUAGACCCGAAACCAGGUGAUCUACCCUUGGUCAGGUUGAAGUUCAGGUAACACUGAAUGGAGGACCGAACCGACUUACGUUGAAAAGUGAGCGGAUGAACUGAGGGUAGCGGAGAAAUUCCAAUCGAACCUGGAGAUAGCUGGUUCUCUCCGAAAUAGCUUUAGGGCUAGCCUCAAGUGAUGAUUAUUGGAGGUAGAGCACUGUUUGGACGAGGGGCCCCUCUCGGGUUACCGAAUUCAGACAAACUCCGAAUGCCAAUUAAUUUAACUUGGGAGUCAGAACAUGGGUGAUAAGGUCCGUGUUCGAAAGGGAAACAGCCCAGACCACCAGCUAAGGUCCCAAAAUAUAUGUUAAGUGGAAAAGGAUGUGGCGUUGCCCAGACAACUAGGAUGUUGGCUUAGAAGCAGCCAUCAUUUAAAGAGUGCGUAAUAGCUCACUAGUCGAGUGACACUGCGCCGAAAAUGUACCGGGGCUAAACAUAUUACCGAAGCUGUGGAUUGUCCUUUGGACAAUGGUAGGAGAGCGUUCUAAGGGCGUUGAAGCAUGAUCGUAAGGACAUGUGGAGCGCUUAGAAGUGAGAAUGCCGGUGUGAGUAGCGAAAGACGGGUGAGAAUCCCGUCCACCGAUUGACUAAGGUUUCCAGAGGAAGGCUCGUCCGCUCUGGGUUAGUCGGGUCCUAAGCUGAGGCCGACAGGCGUAGGCGAUGGAUAACAGGUUGAUAUUCCUGUACCACCUAUAAUCGUUUUAAUCGAUGGGGGGACGCAGUAGGAUAGGCGAAGCGUGCGAUUGGAUUGCACGUCUAAGCAGUAAGGCUGAGUAUUAGGCAAAUCCGGUACUCGUUAAGGCUGAGCUGUGAUGGGGAGAAGACAUUGAG
rnacentral:rRNA from 1 species